CCUACGGGCGGCUGCAGUAAGGAAUAUUGGUCAAUGGACGAAAGUCUGAACCAGCCAUGCCGCGUGGAGGAUGAAGGUCCUCUGGAUUGUAAACUUCUUUUAUAUGGGACGAAAAAAGGGUUUUCUAACUCGUCUGACGGUACCAUAUGAAUAAGCACCGGCUAACUCCGUGCCAGCAGCCGCGGUAAUACGGAGGGUGCAAGCGUUAUCCGGAUUCACUGGGUUUAAAGGGUGCGUAGGUGGGUUGGUAAGUCAGUGGUGAAAUCUCCGAGCUUAACUUGGAAACUGCCAUUGAUACUAUCAGUCUUGAAUAUUGUGGAGGUCAGCGGAAUAUGUCAUGUAGCGGUGAAAUGCUUAGAUAUGACAUAGAACACCAAUUGCGAAGGCAGCUGGCUACACAUCUAUUGACACUGAGGCACGAAAGCGUGGGGAUCAAACAGGAUUAGAUACCCGUGUAGUC
rnacentral:rRNA from 1 species